rnacentral:lncRNA from 1 species
ACAAUGGGCGCGGCGCCCGAGCCCCUGACAGCGCCAUAAAUUGGCCGUGCAAAGCCGAGCGCUAGGUGGUCCCCCUUGGAGAAAAGAGCCGCCGCCGAGGGCGCGAAAAGGCGAGUCCGGGAGCCCGCCAGGGAGCGAGUGGCGCGUUUUCCAGAUCACCUUGUUGGAACUUAGCGUAGCAGAGGAAGAACACCAUGGAAUAAGGAGAAAGGAGAUAACGAGUAGCCUCUCCAGGAAGAAUGCGACAGAAUACUCUUUAUACAAAACCACAAAAUUAGAUAAUUAUGUAUUUAAGUGUUAUUCCUGAAAGCUGGAGAAAGAAAUCUUACUUCUAAGAAUUUGUUUAGCAAAGGAAUAAGAAAAUGUGAUGCUUGGAAGAAAGAACACACUGCCGAGAGGCCUUGUUGCUGAGUGUGCUGAACAAUAGACAACCUCUAAGGAUGCUCGCCUGCAAUUCCGGCUCUGCCAUCAAUUCACUGUAUGCCUUUGGAAACUUUAAAAUUACACACCUGACUUAAAUCUGUGGGAGCCACAGUGCUCUAGAGGGUCUUGCACUAGCAAUUG